GAGGUCACAAGGGGUAUACAAGGAGAUAUCCCAUGGUGUAUGCUCUUUGCGGAUGAUGUGGUGCUACUUGACGAUAGUCGGACGGGGGUAAAUAGGAAGUUAGAGUUAUGGAGACAAACCUUGGAAUCGAAAGGGUUUAGGCUUAGUAGAACUAAAACCGAGUACAUGAUGUGCGGUUUCAGUACUACUAGCUGUGAGGAGGAGGAGGUUAGCCUUGAUGGCCAGGUGGUACCUCGGAAGGACACCUUUCGGUAUUUGGGGUCAAUGUUGCAGGAGGAUGGGGGUAUUGAUGAAGAUGUGAACCAUCGAAUCAAAGCCGGAUGGAUGAAAUGGCGCCAAGCUUCUGGCAUUCUCUGUGAUAAGAGAGUGCCACAAAAGCUAAAAGGCAAGUUCUACAGGACGGCGGUUCGACCCGCAAUGUUGUAUGGCGCGGAGUGUUGGCCGACUAAAAGGCGACAUGUUCAACAGUUAGGUGUGGCGGAGAUGCGUAUGUUGAGAUGGAUGUGUGGCCACACGAGGAAGGAUCGAGUCCGGAAUGAUGAUAUACGAGAUAGAGUUGGGGUAGCACCAAUUGAGGAGAAGCUUGUCCAACAUCGUUUGAGAUGGUUUGGGCAUAUUCAGCGCAGGCCUCCAGAAGCUCCAGUGCAUAGCGGACGGCUAAAGCGUGCGGAGAAUGUCAAGAGAGGGCGGGGUCGAUCGAUUUUGACAUGGGAGGAGUCCGUUAAGAGAGACCUGAAGGAUUGGAGUAUCGACAAAGAGCUAGCUAUGGACAGGGGUGCGUGGAAGCUUGCUAUC
rnacentral:rRNA from 1 species